rnacentral:rRNA from 1 species
GAUGAACGCUGGCGGCGUGCUUAACACAUGCCAGUCGAACGGGAAUUAUUUUAUUGACACUUCGGUCGAUUUCAUUUAAUUCUAGUGGCGGACGGGUGAGUAACGCGUGGGUAACCUGCCUUAUACAGGGGGAUAACAGUCAGAAAUGGCUGCUAAUACCGCAUAAGCGCACAGAGCUGCAUGGCUCAGUGUGAAAAACUCCGGUGGUAUAAGAUGGACCCGCGUUGGAUUAGCUGGUUGGUGGGGUAACGGCCCACCAAGGCGACGAUCCAUAGCCGGCCUGAGAGGGUGAACGGCCACAUUGGGACUGAGACACGGCCCAGACUCCUACGGGAGGCAGCAGUGGGGAAUAUUGCACAAUGGGGGAAACCCUGAUGCAGCGACGCCGCGUGAAGGAAGAAGUAUCUCGGUAUGUAAACUUCUAUCAGCAGGGAAGAUAGUGACGGUACCUGACUAAGAAGCCCCGGCUAACUACGUG